rnacentral:lncRNA from 10 species
AAAUUAGACAAAAAUCCUUGUGGGGAAAAUGUAUGUAUUUUUUUGCCCUGAAAGAACAGGUUUGUCGAACAGAUUAAAAUUCUACAUAUAAAACUGUUGAAAGAGUUUAUGGAUCUACAAAUUACUGCUGGGAUAUAUGGAAUUCUUAUUUUUCAAAAAGCCUAUGCACUCUGAGAAAUUCUAGACAGCAUAUGAAACUAUAAGAGAAUUCCACCUUCUUGCUUACCAGUACAGACUCUUCUUAACAGUGUCAAAACUAACCCUUCUCCCCCAAAAAAGUAGGGUAUAAACAAAGAGAAAGAAAGGGAAAUCACAAACUUUUAGAACUUCCCCAAGCUAAGAGUUGAACAUGGAUAAACUCACUGAAGUCCUCAUAUUGCUCCAUGGGCCACUCUAGGUACAUAAGCUAGGAUGUCAUAGGUCAGAGAGAAGCCCAGCAGAGACCACAUCAAAGUUCAACCUUGUUCCAGACCUUUGUAGGUAGAAAAUAAGGUUAAGUGAAACAUGGAAGGUAACCAUGGAAUAUUACCGGUUCCCGGUCAGUCACUCUUGAUUAGCAAACAUGGCCCAAAGCUGUAGAUCAAGGACUUCCUGAAUAAUACUGGUUCUGGAGACAGAAGCUAUGAGUUCAGUGCUACAUAACUCUCUCUCUGGACAGACAGCUCUGCCAAAGCUAUUACAUUAUAUUUAAGUAUAUGUAUUAAGUAUAUAUCUAAAUAUAUAUUAUACUUAAAAUAUUAGUUUAAAUUUAAUGUUUUAAGUACAAUAUAUAUACCAAAGAGCACAAAGAAAAAAAAAGGUACAGCUUGAUGAAUUUUUACAAAGUGAACACACCCCUGUGACCAUGACUGAGAUAAAGAGAUUAGACAUUACCAGUAUCCCAGAAGCCUCCAUUUGCCCCUUCCUAGGCACUACUGACUUGAUUUAUCUUACUGAUUUGUGGACUACAUGUAAUCACACGGUAUGUGUUCUUUCAUAUUGUUUCCUUUUAGUCAGCAUAGUGUUUGUGAAAUUCAUUCGUGGUGAUGUGUAGAGUAGCAAUUCACACAUUUUCAUUGCUAUAUAAUAUUCCAUUGUAUGAAUAUAGCAAAAUGUAUUGAUUCUUACUGUUGAGGGAAUUUUUAGAUGAUUCUAGUUUGAGAGAUAUAUGUAAUAAUGCUGACAAGAACAUUAUAUAUUUUUGGUGUCCAUCUGUGUACACAAAGAAACAUGUACUAAUUCCACUAGGAAUUAAUUUUCCAAAGUGGUAGCCAAUUUACACUGCCACCACUGGUGUAUAAAAUCUCCAGUUGUUCCACAUCCUCACCAGCAUUUGGUAACGUCUGUUUCAAUUUUUGCCAUUCUGAUGGGUAUAUAUUGGUAUCUUGUUUGGGUUUUAAUUUACAUUUCUGAUAACCAGUGAUUUUGAGCACAAUUUCAUGUUUAUUGGCCACUUGGAUAUCUUCUUUUGUGAAAUGCCUACACAAGUCUUGCCCAGUUUUUUUACUGGACUGUCUUUUUCACGUUGAUUUAUAUAUUCUAGAUACAACUUCUUUUUCAGAUAGGAGAGAAGAAAGAAAAGCAGAGAGAAAGAAAGGAAAUAUGUUUUUCUACACUUUGGCUUGCCUUUUCAAGUCUGUUCAUAUAAUCUUUGAUGAACUGAAGUCUUAUUUUAAUGAAGUCCAGUCUACACAUUUUUUUCCUACCCCAAGGUCAUGAAGAUAUCCUACGUUAUAUUUUAUCAUCUCAACUUCCAAUUUAAGACAUAUCUUGAAAUAUAUGUUUGAACUUAUAGUGUAACAUUUUAACAAAAUUCUUACCAAUUUUUAAGUUUUCAUAAGUAAAUUAACCCUAAAAUUAAUUUACUAAAUUAAUUUACUAAAAUUAAAAAGCUAUCAUCAAAAGUUUUCAAAGAAAAAUUUUCAAAAUAAAUGUUCUUAAAAGCACAGAAAGAGGGAAUGUGAGGGGUUUAUAAUAGCAGUAACAAGUGGUGUUAAAAGCAUAGACUUGGGGCUAGACAGGUUGAAAUCAUGGCUAGCCAUCUAACAAGCUUUGUAACUUU